GGUUGGACCUUUAGGGCCUCCCCAAAAGCCCAUUUAGCAUCCUCCCUCAUUCCUUUCCACUCGUAACACUGGCCCAACAAACAAAGCGCUCUUUCUCCUUCACCACUCAGCUUCACACCCUCCUUUAAAUCGUCAAUAGCCGAGUCAACUCGCCGUCUCCGAUUCACAGCCAUCUUUAACUCGGCCCUCUUGAUCAACGCAUCCCCACGCUCUCUCCCCUCCAACGACUUCACACGCGGAGAAGACAGCGCCGACUCGAGAGCUUUCAGGGCAGAUCCCUUGUGACCCAUGAGAUCGAGAGCUAGAGCCUUGAGGAGUAGAGGCGCGGGAUCUCUGGGAGAGAGAGAGAUUGCAGUUUCGGCUUCAAGGAGUGCGUUUUUGGCUAGGCUUAGAGAUUGGGAUUUAUGAGAUGUGGAUUUGGCUUUGGCUAAGAAGUGAGUACCUUGGAUGAAGUGGCGAUUGGACUGCAAGGAGGCUCUGUUCUUGGUGCGAAGCUUGGUUAGGGCUUGUUUGGGGAAAUAUUGGAUGGCUAUGACCAUGGCAACGGCAAAUAUGAGAAUAAGCACUUGAAUUGCAGCAUCUGUGAAUGCCAUUGAUUUGGGGAGAGAGCUUCUUCUAUCCCCAGAAUAGCAGACUUGAGCAACCG
rnacentral:misc_RNA from 1 species